rnacentral:rRNA from 1 species
GUGACUGCAGGACACAUGAACACCGACAAGUUGAACGCAUAUUGCACAUCGUACAACAGUACGAUGUACACAUUUUUGAGUGCCUAUAUUUAUCUAUUCAACUGUGUGUGCUCUCUCGGGAGCAUACACGCAGCAUGGUGUUUUGCUGCCUUCGGUGGCUGGCAAAACAUUUAAGAUACUCCCGGUUCGGGUGCGACGACCAUCACUGGCGCGCGACACGACGUGAGAAUACAUCCCACACACCAACCUGGCUUGGGCGCCGAUGUAAGCUCUCUCGCACUCCUCCGAUGUCGCGGUGCCGCCCCCACUCCUCGUGAACCAUAUCACAACAUGUAGGCCUCAUAUAAUGUGGGACGACCCCCUCCUUUUUUUCAUAUUAUUAA